UUGAGAGUUUGAUCCUGGCUCAGAACGAACGCUGGCGGCAGGCUUAACACAUGCAAGUCGAGCGGUAACAGAUCUAGCUUGCUAGAUGCUGACGAGCGGCGGACGGGUGAGUAAUGCAUAGGAAACUGCCCAGUAGUGGGGGAUAGCCCGGGGAAACCCGGAUUAAUACCGCGUACGCCCUUCGGGGGAAAGCAGGGGAUCUUCGGACCUUGCGCUAUUGGAUGUGCCUAUGUCGGAUUAGCUAGUUGGUGGGGUAAAGGCCUACCAAGGCGACGAUCCGUAGCUGGUCUGAGAGGAUGAUCAGCCACAUCGGGACUGAGACACGGCCCG
rnacentral:rRNA from 1 species